rnacentral:rRNA from 1 species
UACGUAGGGGGCAAGCGUUAUCCGGAUUUACUGGGUGUAAAGGGAGCGUAGACGGCUAAUCAAGUCAGAAGUGAAAACCCAGGGCUCAACCUUGGGACUGCUUUUGAAACUGAGUAGCUAGAGUGCAGGAGAGGUAAGCGGAAUUCCUAGUGUAGCGGUGAAAUGCGUAGAUAUUAGGAGGAACACCAGUGGCGAAGGCGGCUUACUGGACUGCAACUGACGUUGAGGCUCGAAAGCGUGGGGAGCAAACAGG